GCCUCUGUAGCUCAGUUGGUUAGAGCGCUGCUCCGGAAUCACAGGGCCGUAUAGGUUCGAUUCCUACCAGAGGAA
rnacentral:tRNA from 1 species